CUUUACUAUAACUUGGCACUGAAUUUUGGCGAGAUUUGUGUAGGAUAGGUGGGAGACUUUGAUGCUUGGGCGCUAGCUCAGGCGGAGUCGUCGUUGAAAUACCACCCUAAUGUUGUUGAGAUUCUAACCAUGUUCCAUUAACUGGACGUGGGACACUGUCUGGUGGGUAGUUUGACUGGGGCGGUCGCCUCCUAAAGAGUAACGGAGGCGCUCUAAGGUUCCCUCAGCGCGGUCGGCAAUCGCGCUAAUGAGUGCAUUGGCAUAAGGGAGCUUAACUGCAAGACAAACACGUCGAGCAGGUGCGAAAGCAGGACAAAGUGAUCCGGUGGCACUGUGUGGAAAGGCCAUCGCUCAGCGGAUAAAAGCUA
rnacentral:rRNA from 1 species